rnacentral:lncRNA from 1 species
AGAGGAGAAGGUCCACUUCCUACUGCGAAGCGGGCAAACUGCUCACGGCUCAACUCUGGAAUAAGGAACUCUCGGAGGAGAGGACCCCCGUUCAGGUGGCAUUCUGAUGUACUGGGUCCCUGCAGAAAAGAAAAAGCCACCAUGGCUUGUGCUUCCCCCCUGAUGCUGAGAUCUGUGGCUGAAAGGAGAUGGAGGACAAGCCUGGGGACUGGAGCAAGCUGGUACAAGCUUCUAGGAACUAUACCAUAGUCAUCUCCCACAACCUGGAGACCAAGAAGACCUGAAUGAAGCUGCCUUCAGGGUCCAAGAAGGUGAAUUCCUCAGCCAACAGAGCUGUUGUUAAGGGCAAAAUUGGCUAGAGAUGGACAGCUGGCUAACACAGAGCCACAAGGCAAGUUUGUGAUCACCUUGGGUCCUGGAACUCCACCCUGUGCCCCCUCUAUACUAAGGUACCAUGAUUCUUAACCUCUGAAGAUUUAAUGAUGUAAAGGGCAGGGCUGAGUCUGCAAACAGAGACUCCAUUUGGACAUAGGAACAACUUACAGGUGCCAAAAGGCUUCUUAGUGACUGAUGGAGGUAACGUUGUCAAAGUUAGAUCACAGAUCACAGCCAGAAGGAGGUUCUCUCCACUCUAGACAUCAGCACUGAAUUCUUACCCACUUGAGUUUAUGGGCUGGGAAGUCCUUUACUGCUUUAUUAUAACCCACCUGGCUCCUAGCUCAGUUUUCACUUAUCAAUAAGCUUCAGUUUCCCAAUCUAUCAACUAUUUAACAAAAGAGUCCACAAAGUCAGUGAGUUCCUUGUGCUAGAUACCCGGGGAAGAUGGAGAUACCCGGGGAAGAUGGAGAUACCCUGGGAAGAUGGAGAUACCCUGGGAAGAUGGAGAUACCCUGGGAAGAUGGAGAUACCCUGGGAAGAUGGAGAUACCCUGGGAAGAUGGAGAUACCCUGGGAAGAUGGAGAUACUCUGGGAAGAAGGAGUUACCCUGGAAAGAUGGAGAUGCCCUGGGAAGAUGGAGAAAGAUGCAGCUGAUCCUCAUGAGACUAUUGGAAGUACCUUCAGACACUAGCUAUCAAUUAUUUCAUAGGUAAUUUCAUAGGUAAUUCAUUGCAGGUUGAAAAACUUUCAUUGAGCUCUUACUGUAUGCCAGGGCUGCAAGAGAGGAUAGAGAAAUGAAUAAGAUAUACUGGCCCAAGUGGACAUUGGCUGUUGACUAAUGUCUCAUAUCUCAUCAUGACCUUCCAUUCCAGUACAAGAACUUUCUGGCCUCAGCUUAGAGUGAACACGUUUAAUUUGUAAAUAUGUUUCUGAUGAUUUUUUGCGAUAAUUCUCCUACAAAAAAUAAAACCAAGAG